AUUGAACGCUGGCGGCAGGCUUAACACAUGCAAGUCGAGCGGAGAUGAGGUGCUUGCACCUUAUCUUAGCGGCGGACGGGUGAGUAAUGCUUAGGAAUCUGCCUAUUAGUGGGGGACAACAUCCCGAAAGGAAUGCUAAUACCGCAUACGUCCUACGGGAGAAAGCAGGGGAUCUUCGGACAUUGCGCUAAUAGAUGAGCCUAAGUCGGAUUAGUUAGUUGGUGGGGUAAAGGCCUACCAAGGCGACGAUCUGUAGCGGGUCUGAGAGGAUGGACCGCCACCCUGGGACUGAGACACGGCCCAGACUCCUGCGGUAGGCAGCAGUGGGGAAUAUUGGACAAUGGAGGAACCCUGAUCCAGCCAUGCCGCGUGUGUGAAGAAGGCCUUAUGGUUGUAAAGCACUUUAAGCGAGGAGGAGGCUACUGAGACUAAUACUCUUGGAUAGUGGACGUUACUCGCAGAAUAAGCACCGGCUAACUCUGUGCCAGCCGCCGCCGUAACAC
rnacentral:rRNA from 1 species